CAUGGUGCUGCGAGUCAGCUGUUGUUUGUGAGGAGUGUAAAUUUCUCCAGCAGAGGAGAGACGAUGGUGGCGCUAAUAUGGUUCACAGCCCUCUUAAUCUUGUUUUGGAAGGAAGAGGA